AGUAAUAAAUUUGAGGUUUUGACAUUUUUUCCAUAGGAAAUCUCUCAAAACGUUAAUAAUAUUCGCCAAGUUAGAA